UACGUAGGGCGCAAGCGUUGUCCGGAAUUAUUGGGCGCAAAGAGCUCGUAGGUGGCUUGUCGCGUCUGUCGUGAAAGCCCGGGGCUUAACUCCGGGUCUGCGGUGGAUACGGGCAGGCUAGAGGCAGGUAGGGGGAGAAUGGAAUUCCCGGUGUAGCGGUGAAAUGCGCAGAUAUCGGGAGGAACACCGGUGGCGAAGGCGGAUCUCUGGGCCUUACCUGACGCUGAGGCGCGAAAGCUAGGGGAGCGAACGAGG
rnacentral:rRNA from 1 species